CCACUUACAGAUGGACCCGCGGCGCAUUAGCUAGUUGGUGAGGUAACGGCUCACCAAGGCAACGAUGCGUAGCCGACCUGAGAGGGUGAUCGGCCACACUGGGACUGAGACACGGCCCAGACUCCUACGGGAGGCAGCAGUAGGGAAUCUUCCGCAAUGGACGAAAGUCUGACGGAGCAACGCCGCGUGAGUGAUGAAGGUUUUCGGAUCGUAAAGCUCUGUUGUUAGGGAAAAACAAGUACCGUUCGAAUAGGG
rnacentral:rRNA from 1 species